UGGGGAAUAUUGCACAAUGGGGGAAACCCUGAUGCAGCGACGCCGCGUGAAGGAUGAAGUAUUUCGGUAUGUAAACUUCUAUCAGCAGGGAAGAAGAUGACGGUACCUGACUAAGAAGCCCCGGCUAACUACGUGCCAGCAGCCGCGGUAAUACGUAGGGGGCAAGCGUUAUCCGGAUUUACUGGGUGUAAAGGGAGCGUAGACGGCGAUGCAAGCCAGAUGUGAAAGCCCGGGGCUCAACCCCGGGACUGCAUUUGGAACUGCGUGGCUGGAGUGUCGGAGAGGCAGGCGGAAUUCCUAGUGUAGCGGUGAAAUGCGUAGAUAUUAGGAGGAACACCAGUGGCGAAGGCGGCCUGCUGGACGAUGACUGACGUUGAGGCUCGAAAGCGUGGGGAGCAAACA
rnacentral:rRNA from 2 species